UUCUAGAUCCCACAACAAUGUAAAGAAGACCAAUCUGGCACGAAGACAGAGGUGUAUUAUGAAAACCAUUUUCUUCCUUGGAAAUGGAACAUCACAGCCUUAAUUCAGAACAACCACGUGGAAUCAACUGUGCCUGUAAAUAGCACGGUGGUCCCAUUUCAGGCUGGGGUGGCGGCUGUGAAUAUACCUCCUCAUCUAGGCUUCAUCUCAAUAGGAUCAUCUCCAGACUGUGUCCAGGCAGCUCUACCUCAUACCGACGUCUCUUCCUCACAGCAUUCACCUCAACACCAGCUUCUUCA